UAGUGCCUGAUAGAUGACACAUGAAGCAUUUACUGAAAGAGAGGCUGAGAGAGAAAAGGGGAGGGAGGAGGGGAGAGAGAAAGUGAGAUUGGCUUGCCUGCGGACUCUCUUGGCAGCAAUCGCUUGACUGGAUGUGUUGUAAAUGACUGUGCAAAACACGCACACACACAGACGCAGUGAGUGAAAGUAACAGGAGAGGCUGCUUGAGAUCACUCUGUUGUGGAAAGUAGAGCAGCAAGGUUCCUUCACAGGAACUUAUUGGAUUCUCUCUCAGGAGUUGUGGGAUGGCGAACGCAGUCAGGAGAUGCCUGCGUGACAUGUGCUUGUGUCUCCCUGGCUGGUGUCAGCGCAGUGUAUUUCUUGGUCCAGAAGGCUACAGGUGUACUGGCAUUCGAUGCAACUGUAUUGGUGGUCCCGGGACAGGUGCCUUAUGGAUCAAGGGGCGGUCAGAGCUUU